GACAGAGGGUGCAAACGUUGUUCGGAAUUACUGGGCGUAAAGCGCGUGUAGGUGGCAAGGCAAGUCGGGUGUGAAAGCCCUCAGCUCAACUGAGGAAGUGCGCCCGAAACUGCAGAGCUUGAGUGCCGGAGAGGGUGGCGGAAUUCCCCAAGUAGAGGUGAAAUUCGUAGAUAUGGGGAGGAACACCGGUGGCGAAGGCGGCCACCUGGACGGCAACUGACGCUGAGACGCGAAAGCGUGGGGAGCAAACAGG
rnacentral:rRNA from 1 species